GUCUCAUCUGCACUUGUCUGUUAUGCUACUUUCCCACAUUAUGAAUUCUUGAAUGCACAAUGAUCUUGGUUUUAACCAGGGAACAAAAAAAUACUGCUUUUCUUUGUGUUUUCUGACUUAUUUCAUUCAACGUAGAAGUAGUCAUCUUAUUUUGUAUGACAGAAAACUUUAUUGCUACUGUACAGCAGUCAUGAUGAAGUGUAUGGGCUUUUUUCUUGAUUUAAAAUUUCCAGUUUUUGAGAAAAAUAUCCAUCUGCUCCCUUCUGACAUUGGAGGACAGCCAGUGUCACAGAACAAAGAAGGCUGAGUCCCGGCUUUUCUUAGGAAAGGGGCCUUUACCAAAUACAGACCUGGAUUCUGCUCUGUUAGAGUUUGUCUGAUGCUUUCCAGAAGGUGAACCUCCACACAUCAAUUCUGCAGAAGGGGUUAGAGGUCCGCUAAUACCAUCCUUGCUGAAAACAGCUGUAACUUGAAGAACAGCAACAGCUGGAGGUCAAGCAGCUAUCAUCCCUGAAAUAGUUGCCUUCUCACUGGUAUUGAAACUACUACUUGUCAUCAGCUAGAUCACUUCAAAACACUCCCUGUACUAUGAAGAAACAAGUGGGCUUCCUGUCUCAGAAGACCAAUGUGAAGUGACAUGUUGAGGCAGUACUGGCAUUUCUAUCAUCACCAUUACCAGGGCUUGAGUUUAAGUAGGACAAAGAAGAUGGGAAAGGAGAUUUCUUCAGCUGCAAGAAGAGGAAACAGUAUCCUGGGCUGCAUUCAACAUAACUUUGCCAGGAGGUUGAUGAAGGUCAACCUCUACUCAGCACUGUCAAGAGAAUCCUCAGCUGGCCUUUAUCUGACUGGUCAUACAGCACACCACUGUACAGCGUUUAGGACACAGGAGGAAAAAAAUCUUUUUCUGCAGGCAUAAUUAAAUGCUAAGAUCAGCAUUAGGAG
ensembl:lncRNA